GUUUAUGUAGAUUAAGUUGAAAUCCUGGUGCUGUUAACCCCAAGAUGGGGGUAAACAUCCCCUUAAACG
rnacentral:tRNA from 1 species